GACGAACGCUGGCGGCGUGCUUAACACAUGCAAGUCGAACGAAGAGCGAUGGAAGCUUGCUUCUAUCAAUCUUAGUGGCGAACGGGUGAGUAACGCGUAAUCAACCUGCCCUUCAGAGGGGGACAACAGUUGGAAACGACUGCUAAUACCGCAUACGAUCUAACCUCGGCAUCGAGGAUAGAUGAAAGGUGGCCUCUAUUUAUAAGCUAUCACUGAAGGAGGGGAUUGCGUCUGAUUAGCUAGUUGGAGGGGUAACGGCCCACCAAGGCGAUGAUCAGUAGCCGGUCUGAGAGGAUGAACGGCCAUAUUGGGACUGAGACACGGCCCAGACUCCUACGGGAGGCAGCAGUGGGGAAUCUUCCGCAAUGGACGAAAGUCUGACGGAGCAACGCCGCGUGAGUGAUGACGGCCUUCGGGUUGUAAAGCUCUGUUAAUCGGGACGAAAGGCCUUCUUGCGAAUAGUUAGAAGGAUUGACG
rnacentral:rRNA from 1 species